CUACCCAAAUGUGGGGUUAAGCCAUUUGGGUAAUUUUUUGGGGUUAUUUUCGCAGUCUUGGGUAGUUGUUUGGGUAGUUUUAUGUAACCCCACCACUGGGUUAUUUUCUGGGUAAUUUUCACUGAGAGUGGAAUCAAUACACCCCCUCCCCCUCCCGGACUCAACAACCCAGCUCAUUGGGUCAAAUCAACUCGGCGCAGAUUCAGGUGCAGCACAGGCUGACUGAAUUUGAGGUGGAUGCAACGCACACUAAUAUUUGGAGAAAUAAGGUUCGUAUCAACAUAUUUAUUCAUAUAACAUAUUUUUUAAACCUAUUUAUACACGUAUCAUAAUAUCGAGGGCUAUAUAAAGACGUAAGUGCCAUUACAUUCAGUUUUACAUGGCAUUAAAUACGCCGCCAGCUUCGUUCGUUUAGGUUGGCUUGUUUGAUAUGCCCGUUGGAUAGUAAAUACGUUUUCUACUGUUUUUGUUUAAUGUUUUAAACGUCCCCUUUGGACAAAGCCUUAAGUUUCUUCUUAACUAACGUUAUAUGAUGACAUUUACGUUACUUCAAAGCCCAGUUAACUGUUAACUUAAAACGAGAUUAAUGUAAGUUAAAGUAAAUGCAUUCUUUGCAUUUUCAGAUUAUUAAAAUGAGAUUUUUGACAAUUACAGCCCGUAACAAAUCUCUGGUAAUUAAUUUCUGAAAACCAUUUUUUGUACACGAACAGUUAAAGCAGCCCAUCCCCCGCUGUACAGCAGUGCUGCUGCUGGGUCAAAACAACCCCUUUCAUGGAUCAUCUGUCGCGGGGAUUUUGGAUCGUCAGAAGGAGAAAUACAGCAGGACUUUACAAGCAGACAUUCUUCAGCGGUUCUUUUCUGGUGAAAUAAAGGGGUGGCGAAUGUCGGUCGUGGAGAGCCGCAGUCCUGCAGAGUUUAGCUCCAGCUCUAAUCAAACACACCUGAACAGGUGGUCUGAGUUUCCAUGAGUUUCCUAGGCUAACUACCCCAGGCAUGAUUGCACAAGACUUUUACACAUUACACCAGGAUGCAGCUCCAAAACUCUUCGAGAAAUGGCUCCCUUGAUACACCGAUAGGAUCUUGCAUUUUUCUAAACCAGAAGCAAAGCUUCCAUGUUCAGUUGAGGAGAUGACACAAGAUGCAAAGGGAAAUCUUGCAUUAAAGCUGCUCCCUGUUUUGCUUCCACCUCCACCCUUCAAAACUGCCAGAAAAAGUCCGGCCCAGCAUUGAUGAUGGCAAAAAAGCUUUCAUCGACAUUCAGCCUGUUGGAACAAAUAUGAUGGAGUACCUCCAGCAGGCUGAAGCAUCAGGACUUAACCCUUAUUUCCUGUCACUUGAAAAUGGACAGAUGAGUCCCAGGCAUUCGUCAUCCUUGGAGGAGAAACUUAGGACAAGGCACUUUGAUUGGGGUAGUAGAAGCACUACAUUCUUGCAAGUAAAUGACAAGAGGUUUUUUGAAUAGACUGGGUUUCAGGUACAAGAGUUAUCAUUUUAGUUUUUUUUUUACAGACUUAAAGGUGCUCUAAGCGAAUCUGUGUGACGUUACUUUUUGUUGAUGUUUGAACUGUUUUCAAACAAACGGAGCGUAGCUAACUCCUUCCCUCCCUUCCGUGCUUUCAUGAACGCGCCCAACCCUCACCCCCAAAUGCUUCUUGUCGUUAAUUGGCUGGAACACUUUGUUAUCCUUUCUGGUAGUAGGUUUGGCCACUUUAUUUUUAUUGCAGUUUGUGGAUCCUGGGCUGUCUAAAGAGAUCACGUUUUUUACAGUUUGAUCAGCGGACAGGCAGCCAGCAGAUAGUGAGGAGAUGUUUGCUGUAUGUAAUAAAAAAUGUUUUAUAGCCUAAAACGCGUGAAUUCGCUUAGAGCACCUUUAAGGAAGAGUAUUACUUGAUGAAUAUUAAUGACAUGUUUAUGAAAUGUUACACUGGCAAAAUGCUGUAUUUCAUAGUUUUUUUGUGUGUGUUCAUAAUGUAGACUAAAACAAUACUGCUUUGUAACAAACAGUUGUUCUUAAAGGUUUUUAAUGAAUUUCAUUAUUUUUUUUAAAAUGUUAAAACGUAUAGGGCGGUUUCACAGACAAGGAUAAGACUAGUCCUAGACUAAAGUAAAUGUAAGAGCUGUCCAAACUGAAAACUACUUGCACUGACAUAUCUUAAAAUACACCAGUGCCCUUUGUUUUCCCUCAAAAUGCACACAAGUAAUGUUUUUAUUAAGAUAUGUUUGUUCAAACUUGUUAUAUUUCCUAAUUAAUAACUAAGGACUAGUCCUGGCUUAAGCCAAUCCCUGUCCGUGAAACCACCCCUUACACUUUUGCAAUUAGAGGCAAGUGAAGAAGUUGUUUAAAAUUGUUUAAAAAUGGAAUUUUAUUUAUUGUAUUUAUAGUUUUGUAUGAUCUCCUGAAUUUUUGAUUGAGCUAUUGUGUACAAAGUGUACGUUACACACAUUGUAUUUGUUACAUUACACAAAGUGUAAUAUGCUAAAAAAUAUUAAUGAAAAAUAAAGUUAAUACAAUGUUGA